GCGUAAGAACUUACCCCUAGGAGGGGAAUAACGUGCUAGAAAUGGUAGCUAAUACCCCAUAAGCUGAGGAGUAAAAUGGACUAUUCCGCCUAGGGAUAGGCUUGCGUCUGAUUAGCUAGUUGGUAAAGUAAUGGUUUACCAAGGCAACGAUCAGUAGCUGGUCUGAGAGGAUGAUCAGCCACACUGGGACUGAGACACGGCCCAGACUCCUUACGGGAGGCAGCAGUGAGGAAUUUUCCGCAAUGGGCGAAAGCCUGACGGAGCAAUGCCGCGUGGAGGAGGAAGGCCCGAGGGUUGUAA
rnacentral:rRNA from 1 species